AAAACAAAUUAAGAAAGUGAAAGUUGAGGAGGACGAGGGAGAAGUGGAGGAGGAGGAUGAAGGAGCCAAGCCACUAGAAACUUGCGCAAAACGUAAGAAGAAAGGAGGACCACGCAAGGUGGGUGAAUCAAAAUCCCAUUCUAAAUCCAGUAGCAAGACCAAAUCCAAGUAGUAAGCAGUGAGCCUUGGGGCUCACAGUGGCUUGUGACCCCUGAACAUACCCAGAUGUUGCUCCACAGCAGGGCAGACUCCCUUUUAACAGCUACAAAGCCACACUAUACAAGCCAAGAACAUUUCCUCCUUAAAAGAACAGCCAUGACUGUGGUGGAGAUAGUGUAUUUGUUUGCUUCCCAGAUUAAAAACAGCUUAUGCAAAA